rnacentral:tRNA from 1 species
UCCUGUCAGCCCUGCAUAAGACCAGAUUGCAAAUCUGAGGAAGCGGGCUAAUCGCCUGCCAGGGCUU